GCUCCACUAGCGUAUAUUAAAGUUGUUGCAGUUAAAAAGCUCGUAGUUGAACUUCUGUGUGGGGCUAGUUCGGAGUUCUCUCUGGCUAGUUCCAUACAUCCGCUUGCAAGACCUAGAGGGCAUUUAUUUGUCGCUAGGAGGAGCAGGCUGUUUACUUUGAAAAAAUUAGAGUGUUUAAGGCAGGCAAUCGCCGCAUAUAU
rnacentral:rRNA from 1 species